AGUGAACGCUGGCGGUAGGCCUAACACAUGCAAGUCGAACGGCAGCACAGUAAGAGCUUGCUCUUACGGGUGGCGAGUGGCGGACGGGUGAGGAAUACAUCGGAAUCUACUUUUUCGUGGGGGAUAACGUAGGGAAACUUACGCUAAUACCGCAUACGACCUACGGGUGAAAGCAGGGGAUCUUCGGACCUUGCGCGAUUGAAUGAGCCGAUGUCGGAUUAGCUAGUUGGCGGGGUAAAGGCCCACCAAGGCGACGAUCCGUAGCUGGUCUGAGAGGAUGAUCAGCCUCACUGGAACUGAGACACGGUCCAGACUCCUACGGGAGGCAGCAGUGGGGAAUAUUGGACAAUGGGCGCAAGCCUGAUCCAGCCAUACCGCGUGGGUGAAGAAGGCCUUCGGGUUGUAAAGCCCUUUUGUUGGGAAAGAAAAGCAGCAGGUUAAUACCCCGCUGUUCUGACGGUACCCAAAGAAUAAGCACCGCCUAACUUCGUG
rnacentral:rRNA from 1 species